UGCGUAGGCGGACUAAUAAGUCAGUGGUGAAAUCUCUCGGCUCAACCGGGAAACUGCCAUUGAUACUGUUAGUCUUGAGUUCGGUUGAGGUAGGCGGAAUGUGUAAUGUAGCGGUGAAAUGCUUAGAUAUUACACAGAACACCAAUUGCGUAGGCAGCUUACUAGACCGACACUGACGCUGAGGCACGAAAGCGUGGGUAGCGAACAGGAUUAGAUACCCUGGUAUCC
rnacentral:rRNA from 1 species